CUGCAAUAAGAAAUCACCAUCCAGAAAGUGCUGACCUCCGUGUAUUGUCCAAAGUUUACCUAGAUGGGAUCGUGGACGUCGAUGACGAGGAGUUCCAAAACAUCUCAUCCAUCCUUUCCACUUUCAUCAUCCUUUUUCUCGUGAGCCUGUUCUACAGUGCCACUGUGACCGUCAUAAAGGUAAAAACAAAUGGAAGGCAGGGUACUAAAGUGAAACAGGCAAUAGCCAUUCUCUUAAACCAAGUGGAACUGGGAGGGCAAGAGGGCCAGUGGGCUUCACAAGAGCAGGCCAGAACAAGCUCCAAGGACAGGCGCCAUUUUGUGAAACCAUUCGGCAAGUCAAACUUCAGUCAGUAGCUGGUGCUCACUUGUUCUCUACUUUGUUGCCUGUCUACUUCCCUCUCCGUUCUCUUCCACCAUGGCUUCUCUCCCAACCUUCAUUCCUCAGCUGCUCUUUGCCACUUCAUCUCAGCUUCUUCCCCAUCCAUUCCUCUACCCACUCCCACUGUUGCUCUUUCCUCUCACCCUUUAUUUCAUGAGCCCAGAAUUCUCUGACAUCAUUGGGGUUGGGGGUAGUCCACAUUACGCAGGAUGAGAGGCUGCAAAAGGAUAGGUCCUUGCAUGAUGCACUUCUUCAGUAGCGAAAUUAGUUCUUCUUUCCCAAUUCCAGGUGAAAUAGCAGCAUGAAGGGUCUUCUGGCAACGGACAGUGACUUCUCUAUUUACCAGCAACAUAAUAAAGGACUUGACUUCUUCGUCCACUUUUGGAGAAGAAGGAAGGAUGCAAGCCUUUCCGUCUUGCUUUGCAUCAUGACCUCAGGAUACUCAUUGGCUUGAACUAGAUUUAGACCCACUGUUUACAUUUUAGAGCUAUGGUGCAAUUUUGCUUCACUUUUCUGAGUGUGUGUGUGUGUGUGUUUUCCAGCAUCUCUUUGGUAGUCAUGUUUUAUUUCAGCUAUAGUCGAAAGCCUUAAUGUGAAUAUUGCACUUUUAACUUUCAACAGACAAGGAAUCAUUGCACAAUAUGUACCGACUAGAAUGUUUCUCAUUUAUAUCAUGAUUGC